rnacentral:rRNA from 1 species
AUUGAACGCUGGCGGCAUGCCUAACACAUGCAAGUCGAACGGCAGCGCGGACUUCGGUCUGGCGGCGAGUGGCGGACGGGUGAGGAAUGCAUCGGAAUCUGCCCCGACGUGGGGGAUAACGUAGGGAAACUUACGCUAAUACCGCAUACGUCCUAACGGGGAAAGCAGGGGAUCGAAAGACCUUGCGCGGCGGGAUGAGCCGAUGCCGGAUUAGCUAGUUGGCGGGUAAAGCCCACAAGGCGACGAUCCGUAGCUGGUCUGAGAGGAUGAUCAGCCACACUGGGACUGAGACACGGCCCAGACUCCUACGGGAGGCAGCAGUGGGGGAAUAUUGGACAAUGGGGGCAACCCUGAUCCAGCAAUGCCGCGUGUGUGAAGAAGGCCUGG